rnacentral:rRNA from 1 species
AUUGAACGCUGGCGGUAUGCCUUACACAUGCAAGUCGAACGGUAGAGGGGCAACCCUUGAGAGUGGCGAACGGGUGAGUAAUACAUCGGAACGUGCCCAGUCGUGGGGGAUAACGUAGCGAAAGCUACGCUAAUACCGCAUACGACCUGAGGGUGAAAGCGGGGGAUCGCAAGACCUCGCGCGAUUGGAGCGGCCGAUGGCAGAGUAGGUAGUUGGUGGGGUAAAGGCCUACCAAGCCUGCGAUCUGUAGCUGGUCUGAGAGGACGACCAGCCACACUGGGACUGAGACACGGCCCAGACUCCUACGGGAGGCAGCUGUGGGGAAUUUUGGACAAUGGGCGAAAGCCUGAUCCAGCCAUACCGCGUGCGGGAAGAAGGCCUUCGGGUUGUAAACCGCUUUUGUCAGGGAAGAAAUCUUCUGGGUUAAUACCUCGGGAGGAUGACGGUACCUGAAGAAUAAGCACCGGCUAACUACGUGCCAGCAGCCGCGGUAACAC